rnacentral:rRNA from 1 species
AUUGAACGCUGGCGGCAUGCCUUACACAUGCAAGUCGAACGGCAGCACGGGAGCAAUCCUGGUGGCGAGUGGCGAACGGGUGAGUAAUGUAUCGGAACGUGCCUUGUCGUGGGGGAUAACGUAGCGAAAGCUACGCUAAUACCGCAUACCAUCUAAGGAUGAAAGCGGGGGAUCGCAAGACCUCGCGCGACAAGAGUGGCCGAUAUCAGAUUAGGUUGUUGGUGGGGUAAAGGCCGUACCAAGCCGACGAUCUGUAGCUGGUCUGAGAGGACGACCAGCCACACUGGGACUGAGACACGGCCCAGACUCCUACGGGAGGCAGCAGUGGGGAAUUUUGGACAAUGGGCGAAAGCCUGAUCCAGCAAUGCCGCGUGCAGGAUGAAGG